UUCUUGCCAUGCAUGCCAAUGUUGCGGUUGGAGAUAUGUUGUGCGAUUGAACUGUGGCGGAGAGAAUAGCAUCGUCAGGUCCUGUUUGGGUUACAAUAAUCAAGUUCCUCUAGGGUGGAACAAGGUUCCCUCUAAGGUUUGCUAGCUGAAGAGGGCUUGAGCCUUGGGGUUAAUGGCCUUAGUUGCGAAAUAGUGUUAGGUUCAUGUAUUUGGUCAUUGUCUUGUAUGGACAGACUUCAAGCAAUGUACAUGUGCUAUAAGCCCCUUUUCUUCAACAUGUUAAGGCUAGUCCCAUAAAAAUUGAAAAUGGAAAGCUAGGAACAUAUUCAUUUGUGGAAUAUAAUUUUUUAUUUUUUAAAAAAACUUUAGUUUUCAUUUUUUAUAAAAAAGAAAGAAAAAUAUAAAAAACGUGGUCACUUCCCAAUAAUAAA
rnacentral:misc_RNA from 1 species